rnacentral:rRNA from 1 species
CUACGUGCCAGCAGCCGCGGUAAUACGGAGGGUGCGAGCGUUAAUCGGAAUAACUGGGCGUAAAGGGCACGCAGGCGGUGACUUAAGUGAGAUGUGAAAGCCCCGAGCUUAACUUGGGAAUUGCAUUUCAUACUGGGUCGCUAGAGUACUUUAGGGAGGGGUAGAAUUCCACGUGUAGCGGUGAAAUGCGUAGAGAUGUGGAGGAAUACCGAAGGCGAAGGCAGCCCCUUGGGAAUGUACUGACGCUCAUGUGCGAAAGCGUGGGGAGCAAACAGGAUUAGAUACCCUGGUAGUCCACGCUGUAAACGAUGUCGAUUUGGGGAUUGGGCUUUGAGCUUGGUGCCCGUAGCUAACGUGAUAAAUCGACCGCCUGGGGAGUACGGCCGCAAGGUUAAAACUCAAAUGAAUUGACGGGGGCCCGCACAAGCGGUGGAGCAUGUGGUUUAAUUCGAUGCAACGCGAAGAACCUUACCUACUCUUGACAUCCAUGGAAUCUUGUAGAGAUACGAGAGUGC